rnacentral:rRNA from 1 species
AGAGUUUGAUCAUGGCUCAGGGUGAACGCUGGCGGCAUGCCUAACACAUGCAAGUCGAACGGUAACAGGCCCGCAAGGGUGCUGACGAGUGGCGGACGGGUGAGGAAUACAUCGGAAUUUGCCCAGUCGUGGGGGAUAACGUAGGGAAACUUACGCUAAUACCGCAUACGACCUUACGGUGAAAGCGGGGGAUCAGCAAUGACCUCGCGCGGAUGGAUAAGCCGAUGUCGGAUUAGCUAGUUGGCGGGGUAAGAGCCCACCAAGGCGACGAUCCGUAGCUGGUCUGAGAGGAUGAUCAGCCACACUGGGACUGAGACACGGCCCAGACUCCUACGGGAGGCAGCAGUGGGGAAUAUUGGACAAUGGGGGCAACCCUGAUCCAGCAAUGCCGCGUGUGUGAAGAAGGCCUUCGGGUUGUAAAGCACUUUUAUCCGGAACGAAACGCGCAGGGUGAAUAUCCUUGCGAACUGACGGUACCGGAGGAAUAAGCACCGGCUAACUUCGUGCCAGCAGCCGCGGUAAUACGAAGGGUGCAAGCGUUACUCGGAAUUACUGGGCGUAAAGGGUGCGUAGGUGGUUUUUUAAGUCCGUUGUGAAAUCCCUGGGCUCAACCUGGGAAUGGCAGUGGAUACUGGAAAGCUAGAGUGCGGUAGAGGGUAGUGGAAUUCCCGGUGUAGCAGUGAAAUGCGUAGAGAUCGGGAGGAACACCAGUGGCGAAGGCGGCUACCUGGACCAGCACUGACACUGAGGCACGAAAGCGUGGAGGCAAACAGGAUUAGAUACCCCCGUAGUCC